CCCCGGAGGGUCCGAACUAUCUCAGCGGAGAAAGGGGACAUAGUGUGCUGGCGAGCGCUGGCUGUUGGCGUUAGAGCUCCGGCUGUGGCUCAGUCUGGGGCGCGGUUCUUGCCAACACACCAUGUCCAGAGACAGGUGACCAAAAAUUCAAAUUUCAAACCAGCUCUGGAUGGAAAUGAAAAACACAGGGUCCCACUUAUGUUAAGGCAGGCAUGUCUUUCGCCUUCUUACUCGCACCUUCCGCUAUGGAUUCGCUCUUCAGGGGGCACUGAGACAUCCUACAGUGCCCUGGACGGCCCACCCCAACCAUGGUAUCCGUUGUCCAACAGUUUUGGAUACCCCAGAAUCGGUCUCCCUUAUCCCCCCUUACAGCUUGGUGCACUACCCCCUUCUUACCUUAAAUAACUACUCCUCCAUUGUGAAAUGAAAACUAGGCAAAGGCGAAUUUCAUUUCAAACGUUAUAAACGGUAUGUAUUUAUUAAGCCAAAUCAAAAAUUCAUUGCCAGACAAAGUUCAAUCAAACGAAAAAGCAAAGAAAACAAAACAAGGAAUUGCAUAGUGGCAAUUAAAAAAACUUCAAUUAUAUAGACUCCUCUCCUUCAAAGAGAAAAAUAGUAAUAAAAUUCUCCUUCCUCCACAGGUGUAUUGGGUCUUCUCUUGGUGUCUGGCCUUCCUUCAGGGUCGUCUCUCCUAACUGGAGUCAGUGCUGGGGCGGCUGAGCAGUGCCCACGCUUUCCUCUUGUCUGUCCGUCCGUCUGGUUGUGGCCUAAGUUCGCAAAGCGAACACCAACAGCAGUAAGGGCUCCUUUCCGCCCCAAAGGUCUAGAAUCUUUACCCCCUGGCCCUAGGUUGAGCUCGACCUAACAGCUGAGGACAGCGCCUAUUUAUUCUAGCGCUGUGUUACUUAUAGAAAGGAAAUAUGUGUGUCAAGGUCCUGUCCGUCCGUCUAAGUUCACGUAUACGUCCCGCAAUAGUGUUUGUGAGGAAAAAGGGUACCUGCAGCACUGUCGGCUGACCAGUGCUUUUGAUAUAGAGCUUCCCACGAUGGACAGAGGAGGUGGAGGUGUAGCUUUAUGUUUUCGCGUUUGGCUUUUUGUUAUUUUGUGAUCAACUUUAGUGGUGUCUAUUGUCUUUGAUUUUCAAGUUUAGGAUUUUUAACUAUUGACUUUGAUUUGGUUUUUAGUUUUUCUUUUCUUUUCAGGUCUUUUAUUAUUACAUUGGUAUUUUCCUUUUUUUUUUUCAGGUUCUUUGGCUUUGUUUCGAAACUUUUCCCUUUUCAGGUUCCUUUUUAUUUAAUUUGAUAACAUUUCUUUUUUUUUCCAGAGUUUUCAUAGAUUUUCUUUUUCAGCUUUUAAUAACUUUCAGUUCGAUUUAUUUUAAUCACCUUUUUUUUUCAUAAUCUUCUUUUUCAGCUCUUUAGUUUUUUUAAUUUGUAUUUAUUUUCAUUUAUUUUGUUACAGCUUUUAAAGCUUCUCAAUAAUUUAUAGUUAAUUUUUUUUCCUCUUUCAGCAAAUGUGCUGAAAGUUCAAUAAAUCACUUUAAAACUUUGAAUUUGGUCUUUUUCUUUGUUGUUGGGUAAAAGCCAGUUCCGCCUCCUUUUCUCUGCCGAAUCCAAAACCAAAAAAAAAAAGCCUUCUCUCUUUUUGAAAACACCACUUUCUACACUCCUGAUGACACCACCUCUUACUGCUUGCACGGCUCCAUCCAAAAAGAACUCGUCAUCUUCCCUUUACUGUCCAUCAUGGUUCCCCCAAGCCAUCAUGUCCACCGAGGAACCAUCAUAAAAUUUUGUUUUCCAAAAUAGCAAAAACAAACAACAUAUGGUUUCCUCGAUUUUCAUUGUAGUAGUUACCUUUGUAUGUGGAGGUAACAUAUGCUGGUAUCGCAGGGUUGCAUUCACCAGCUGCCAUAAAAAAAACAGACUGUUCAAACCCAGAUGUCGCUCUUCUCUAAUCAGACAUAGGGUGACAC